rnacentral:lncRNA from 1 species
UUUUCUUCUUUUGUUACAGAAAACCAUCAACGUACUGAUGUUUACUUUCCGGCGCAUGCCUGGUAAAUGUUUUUUAAUAAAUUUAUGUUGAUAAUUUUUGUCAAAAUAUAAAUUAACAAAAUAUUUCUUAUUCAAAGUUGUUUUUGGUCAUAUAUUUUCGUAUUUUCAAUUUUUACAAUUUGUCUUUGUUUUUAAUUUAUACAAUUUUUU